AAGGAUUCCCCUAGUAACUGCGAGUGAACCGGGAAGAGCUCAAAUUUUGAAUCUGGCGGUCUUUUGGCCGUCCGAAUUGUAAUCUAGAGAAGCGUUUUCCGCGCUGGACCGUGUACAAGUCUCCUGGAAGGGAGCGUCAUAGAGGGUGAUAAUCCCGUCUUUGACACGGACUACCAGGGCUAUGUGAUGCGCUCUCGACGAGUCGAGUUGUUUGGGAAUGCAGCUCAAAUUGGGUGGUAAAUUCCAUCUAAAGCUAAAUACAGGCGAGAGACCGAUAGCGAACAAGUACCGUGAGGGAAAGAUGAAAAGAACUUUGGAAAGAGAGUUAAACAGUACGUGAAAUUGCUGAAAGGGAAACGCUUCAAGUCAGUCGCGUUAGCUGGGGAUCAGCCUUGCAAUCUUGCUGGGUGCACUUCCUGGUUGACGGGUCAGCAUCAAUUUUGACCGUUGGAGAAGGGUCGAGGGAAUGUGGCAUCCUUCGGGGUGUGUUAUAGCCUUUGAUCGCAUGCAACGGUUGGGAUUGAGGAACUCGGCACGGCCCCUCCUGGGCUCCGGGCUUCCGGCUA
rnacentral:rRNA from 1 species